GACGGGGGAUGCGAGCGUUAUCCGGAAUGAUUGGGCGUAAAGGGUCCGCAGGUGGCCCGGUCAGUCCGCUGUCAAAGCCUGGGGCUCAACCCUGGAGAGGCGGCGGAGACCACCGGGCUUGAGUCCGGUAGGGGCAGGGGGAAUUCCCGGUGGAGCGGUGAAAUGCGUAGAGAUCGGGAAGAACGCCAAGGGCGAAGGCACUCUGCUAGGCCUGAUUUCGCGACUGACACUCAGGGACGAGAGCCAGGGGAGCGAAUGGG
rnacentral:rRNA from 1 species